rnacentral:rRNA from 1 species
UGGGGAAUAUUGCACAAUGGGCGAAAGCCUGAUGCAGCAACGCCGCGUGAGGGACGACGGCCUUCGGGUUGUAAACCUCUUUUAGCAAGGAAGAAGCGAAAGUGACGGUACUUGCAGAAAAAGCGCCGGCUAACUACGUGCCAGCAGCCGCGGUAAUACGUAGGGCGCAAGCGUUAUCCGGAAUUAUUGGGCGUAAAGAGCUCGUAGGCGGUUUGUCGCGUCUGCUGUGAAAACCUGAGGCUCAACCUCGGGCCUGCAGUGGGUACGGGCAGACUAGAGUGCGGUAGGGGAGAUUGGAACUCCUGGUGUAGCGGUGGAAUGCGCAGAUAUCAGGAAGAACACCGAUGGCGAAGGCAGAUCUCUGGGCCGUAACUGACGCUGAGGAGCGAAAGGGCGGGGAGCAAACAGGCUUAGAUACCCUGGUAGUCCACCCCGUAAACGUUGGGAACUAGUUGUGGGGUCCAUUCCACGGAUUCCGUGACGCAGCUAACGCAUUAAGUUCCCCGCCUGGGGAGUACGGCCGCAAGGCUAAAACUUGAAAUGAAUUGACGGGGUCAUAGCUGUUUCCU